UGCCAGCAGCCGCGGUAAUACGAAGGGGGCUAGCGUUGCUCGGAAUCACUGGGCGUAAAGGGUGCGUAGGCGGGUUUCUAAGUCAGAGGUGAAAGCCUGGAGCUCAACUCCAGAACUGCCUUUGAUACUGGAAGUCUUGAGUUCGGGAGAGGUGAGUGGAACUGCGAGUGUAGAGGUGAAAUUCGUAGAUAUUAGCAGGAACACCGGUGGCGAAGGCGGCUAUCUGGACGACAACUGACGCUGAGGCGCGAAAGCGUGGGGAUCAAACAGGAUUAGAUACCCUGGUAGUCCACGCUGUAAACGAUGGGUGCUAGCCGUUGGGAGGAUUCCUCUCAGUGGCGCAGCUAACGCGUUAAGCACCCCGCCUGGGGAGUACGGUCGCAAGAUUAAAACUCAAAGAAAUUGACGGGGACCCGCACAAGCGGUGGAACAUGUGGUUUAAUUCGAGGCAACGCGAAGAACCUUACCAAGACUUGACAUGCCCUCUAUGGAAAGCAGAAACGUUUUCCUUCACCUCGGGCGGGAGGAGCACAGGUGCUGCAUGGCUGUCGUCAGCUCGUGUCGUGAGAUGUUGGGUUAAGUCCCGCAACGAGCGCAACCCUCAUCCUCUGUUGCUAACAGGUAAUGCUGAGAACUCUGAGGAAACUGCCGGUGAUAAGCCGGAGGAAGGUGGGGAUGACGUCAAGUCCUCAUGGCCCUUACGUCUUGGGCUACACACGUGUUACAAUGGCGGUGACAAUGGGCAGCGAACCCGCAAGGGUAAGCGAAUCUCAAAAAGCCGCCUCAGUUUGGAUUGUACUCUGCAACUCGAGUACAUGAAAUUGGAAUCGCUAGUAAUCGCGGAUCAGCACGCCGCGGUGAUACGUUCCCGGGUCUUGCACACACCGCCCGU
rnacentral:rRNA from 1 species